rnacentral:rRNA from 1 species
UACGUAGGGUGCGAGCGUUAAUCGGAAUUACUGGGCGUAAAGCGUGCGCAGGCGGUUUUGUAAGCCAGAUGUGAAAUCCCCGGGCUUAACCUGGGAAUGGCAUUUGGGACUGCAAGGCUUGAGUGCGGCAGAGGAGACUGGAAUUCCUGGUGUAGCAGUGAAAUGCGUAGAUAUCAGGAGGAACACCGAUGGCGAAAGCAGCGCGCUGGACCUCUACUGACGCUGAGGCGCGAAAGCCAGGGGAGCAAACGGG